UACAGAGGGUGCGAGCGUUAAUCGGAAUUACUGGGCGUAAAGCGCACGUAGGCGGCUUGGUAUGUCGGGUGUGAAAUCCCCGGGCUCAACCUGGGAACUGCAUCCGAAACUGCCUUGCUAGAGUAUGGGAGAGGGAAGUGGAAUUUCCGGUGUAGCGGUGAAAUGCGUAGAUAUCUGGAGGAACACCGGUGGCGAAAGCGGGACUUUGGGCCGAUACUGACGCUGAGGAGCGAAAGCGUGGGGAGCAAACAGG
rnacentral:rRNA from 1 species